UUUUAUAUAUAUAAUAGUUCUGUUUAUGGUAUGUAUUAUGUAUAAUUAAUUUUCUAAUGAAACUUUCUCAAACAAUAUAGCUUAUUAGAAAAACUCCCUUUAAAAAAUACAAAGUGUAUGUAUACAUUGAUAUAAGGUUAUCACAUUUGAAUUCACCACGUGUUGAUCAAGCGACGUGGUCAUAUGACGGGCGCAUUGAUCGGGCGUCGGGCCGCGGACCGGUCAGUCGUUGUGCAGAUCAUAACCAUAACCUAUAACAUGCAACAGCCGACUCAACGUGUUCAAUCUUGUUUUCAAGCGAAAUUGUAAUCUUUGAAGUCUUGUGAGAGCAAAUUUCUAGCAAGAUCCGUGGAAAUAAUCUAAUAGCCAAUAUAAGAAAAAGAGCAAUGUUAUAUUAUAAUUCAAAAUGGAGGAUACUGCAAAACCAGUAGAUGUCUUCGUCGCAAAAAUUAAAAACCAGUAAUGAGAGGUUGCUGCUGUACAGUCUGUAUUCCCUAAAAUAAUUACAAAUUUCCUUGCCAGAUGUAUAAACUGGGGAGGCACCCAGAAGACCAAAAUUGCGUUUAAUAGCAGCAAAACAUAUGAGGCUAUUCAAGCCACUAUUUUGCUGAAGUUUGGUAAUACAAUCUAGAUCUAGAUUAACCCGAAAAUUGGCGAUGGUUUAGCGCAAGUGCUCAGCAAGUGGUGUAAAUGCGUUUCAUAAAAAUAGAUAUUGCUAAAAUGUGAUAUAUAUACAUAUAUAUUAUUAGUACUUGUUUUACGCAGCAAUUUAUAUAAUGUGCAAUUUAACUAUAUAAAAUAGAUAUAUAAGCAGGCAUAAUCUACAAUA